GGAUUCACUCCGAGAUAUCAAUUCGUCGAAAUCGACAGCGCGCCGUAAACUGAAGCGGAACUGGGAUUCGCUGAGGAUCCACGCUCCCUCGACGCAGUCGCAAAACACGAUGCAUCGUUUUGUCUACUCUUUCUCCUCUUUCGACGCCUGACAUUGACUGAAGGGCGCGCCUCCUCGAACCACCCGUUUUUUUUUCAAAUCGUAAUCAAAAACACACCUAUUCGAUCUAGGAAGAAUGUUCACGUUAAUCUAUUUCUCUGUUCAACCUUUUUGUACCAUAUACUACAAUCAACCAACCAAUAUUCCAAUUGUAUUUUUGUCAAAUCAACAAAUUCGGUAAGCAGAUUCCGUACGAUGAAUUUCCUUGUAUACUGAAUGAUGUAAUUUAAUCGGAGUUAAUUAGAAAUUCACGAUAGACAGUCACGUUGAAUUGUGGAUAAAUCAUAACUGAAACAUCUAAUUAUACAAUCGGUUUAAUUACAUUAUCAUGGAUGCAACAUUCGUGUAAAUGAUAUAAUGAAUUAGGAGUACACAUAAACCGCGCGAGGAUAAAUAUUCCGCGCCAAUUUGGAAUCGCUGAAGAGAGCUCGCGUUCAUAAGUGGCAAUGAUUUCCAGUAGGAAUGCAUCUGUUGCAUUUGGUCGAUCUGGAUUAAAUCAAUACGACGCAACAGUAGCCAAACAGAGGCGUUAUUUAUUUUGCAUCCUCCACCGUAUUUUUCUUUCAGCAUCGUCACCGAUGGUCACUCCGGCGGAUUAGCCACGCCAGGAAUUUCUAGAAUCGACCAGAUUACGACUACGCAGCGCCGCGUUUCUUGUUGCGUUUGCGAAUCCACUUGGAAUUCAAUUAGAAUUCCUAUGCGUGAAUAUAAUUCUGCAAGUGUCGAAUCAUCUACCACGCAGAAAUGGAUCCUGUCGGUAUACAGCUGCUACUGGAGGUCCGUUUGAUCGAUUACGAUAAAAAGACGGACUUUUAAUAAAAUUAUAGAGCCAGGAACAGGAUCCAUUGAAAGGAGAAGAUCUUCGUUCAACAAGCUUCGAGGUAAGCAGAGAUAUUGACUCGCCGUUGUAACAAUUAAUCCUAUUAAUUCUCGAUUUGCUCGAUGGUUCCUUUUCCUCACUGAUACUUGCGAUUUGUCCUUUGUAUCGUGUUCACAAUCGUUUCGUUAAAGUCCUGAUAAAUUUCAGUGUAUUUAAAUUCAACUUUCAACCGUUCAAUUCCAAACGAAAUAUAAACAGAAGCUUCGUGGUUUUUAUAUAUUCAACUCGUUUGAUAGAUAUUUAUUUUAUCCUUUUUAUCUCGGUUUAAAACGUUGAUGUUUUUGUCGUCGGAUUAACUAGAUCAAUUGACAGUGAUACGUAUGUUCACAGAUUCGUGUUUCGUCAUUUCCUGUUUGCUAUCUAUUUUUCCUUUUUUGUGUUCCAUUCAUUUUCUUUUCCAAUUAUAUCGUCUCUACUAAACAAGCAAACAGAAAGGGAGAGGUAGAGAGAGAGAGAUAAUUUUGUGGUAUUUUUGGAACAGCAUCUUCUUCAGGUUAUCCGAAAUUUUACCACCCUUCCUUCUGUCACCAAGUUAUGAUUGACCCUGUUCCAUCCAAACGAAUAAAAUGGGCGCCCCGCAAUCACUGUCAUCUUCAUAACCCACAUGCUUCAGCUACGAAACGAUAGUGGGUUGUCCAGAUUUGCCGCUUAUUUACCAAUCGUUAUGCCAUCCUGUCUGGUUUGGUUAAGUAGGAAGCAAAUAGGGAUACCCUAAGCGGGUUUGGCGUUUCGUUGAAAUUGCUAUAAAGGUAUACACGGUACAGUCUGGUCUCCGUGCCAACGCAAAAGGAAAAUACAGCAUGAAAGGAAAAUACAUUGGUCGAUGAAUGUCCCGAGGGAAGAGGAAUAAGACCCGUCGACGCAAAAUCUUAAUGGAUUUCGUGUCUAUCUCAAAGAAAGCUUCUAAUAAUCGAAUAUACUAAAUACCACUAACAUUAUGAGAUAUCUGAACGUGUUUCAGUGUUUAUAAAAAAAGAAAACAUUUGAUACUUUAUUUUAUGUGCUCAGCAGUUCUAAAGUAUAUAGACUUUAUAAGUAUAUAGACUAGGUAUAUAGACUAAGUAUAUAGACUAGUAUAUAGAUAUAAAAUGUAUUUUAAUCAAAGAGUUAUUUAAAUGAACCUGCAAGCUUUUUAUUCUUUAUAAUUGCCAUAACUGCGUAUAAUAGAAUAUUACGAUACAAUUACAUUGACAUUUAGAAACCAAUAUGGAAUAAUUAAUAUAAAUUAUUAAUAAUUAUAUAUAAUGAUUAAUGGAAUUAUUAAUUGCAUAUCUGCUACUAUUUUGUAAUUACGUAUCUUCAGAUUUUCCAAUUUGCAAUAUAAACUAAAUUCAAGAGCAAA